GACGAACGCUGGCGGCGUGCUUAACACAUGCAAGUCGAACGGAAAGGCCCUGCUUUUGUGGGGUGCUCGAGUGGCGAACGGGUGAGUAACACGUGAGUAACCUGCCCUUGACUUUGGGAUAACUUCAGGAAACUGGGGCUAAUACCGGAUAGGAGCUCCUGCUGCAUGGUGGGGGUUGGAAAGUUUCGGCGGUUGGGGAUGGACUCGCGGCUUAUCAGCUUGUUGGUGGGGUAGUGGCUUACCAAGGCUUUGACGGGUAGCCGGCCUGAGAGGGUGACCGGCCACAUUGGGACUGAGAUACGGCCCAGACUCCUACGGGAGGCAACAGUGGGGAAUAUUGCACAGUGGGCGGAAGCCUGAUGCAGCAACGCCGCGUUCGGGAUGACGGCCUUCGGGUUGUAAACCGCUUUCGCCUGUGACGAAGCGUGAGUGACGGUAAUGGGUAAAGAAGCACCGGCUAACUACGUG
rnacentral:rRNA from 1 species